rnacentral:rRNA from 1 species
CAGUAGCCGCGGUAAUACGGAGGGUGCAAGCGUUAUCCGGAUUCACUGGGUUUAAAGGGUGCGUAGGCGGAUCUGUAAGUCAGUGGUGAAAUCUCCAGGCUUAACCUGGAAACUGCCGUUGAUACUAUAGGUCUUGAAUUUUGUGGAGGUUAGCGGAAUAUGUCAUGUAGCGGUGAAAUGCAUAGAUAUGACAUAGAACACCAAUUGCGAAGGCAGCUGGCUACACAACUAUUGACGCUGAGGCACGAAAGCGUGGGGAUCAAACAGGAUUAGAUACCCGCGUAGUCCCUGUCUCUUAUAA